UACGUAGGGUGCGAGCGUUAAUCGGAAUUACUGGGCGUAAAGCGUGCACAGGCGGCGCGUUAAGACAGGUGUGAAAGCCCCGAGCUUAACUUGGGAAUUGCGCUUGUGACUGGCGUGCUGGAGUGUGGCAGAGGGAGGUGGAAUUCCACGUGUAGCAGUGAAAUGCGUAGAGAUGUGGAGGAACACCGAUGGCGAAGGCAGCCUCCUGGGCCAGCACUGACGCUCAUGCACGAAAGCGUGGGGAGCAAACAGG
rnacentral:rRNA from 1 species